rnacentral:ncRNA from 2 species
CAAUUAGCCAGUCUCCGAGUCGCUGCGCCUACCAGGGAAAAAUCCUCAUGGCGUACGACCUGGGGGGUGUCGCCGGAAACAGCGCCGCCCUCCUUUGAAAAGGGGAUCUCGUGCCUGACGU